rnacentral:misc_RNA from 1 species
UCUCCGUUGGUGAACCAGCGGAGGGAUCAUUACCGAGUUUACAACUCCCAAACCCCUAUGUGAACGUUACCAAACUGUUGCCUCGGCGGGAAAUUCAUGCCCCGGGCGCGUCGCAGCCCCGGACCAAGGCGCCCGCCGGAGGACCAACCAAAACUCUUUUGUAUGUCCCUCGCGGACUUUUAUAAUUCUGCGCCAUCUCGGCGCCCCUAGCGGGCGUUUCGAAAAUGAAUCAAAACUUUCAACAACGGAUCUCUUGGUUCUG